rnacentral:rRNA from 1 species
ACACGACUACAUUAGAUACCCCCGUAGUCCCAGCCGUAAACAAUGUGCGUUAGGUGUGUCGGUAACCACGCGUUACUGAUGCGCCGAAGAGAAAUCGUGAAACGCACCACCUGGGAAGUACGGUCGCAAGGCUGAAACUUAAAGGAAUUGGCGGGGGAGCACCACAACAGGUGGAGCCUGCGGUUUAAUUGGAUUCAACGCCGGACAUCUCACCGGAUAAGACAGCUGAAUGAUUGUCAAUCUGAAGGUUUUACAUGACUAGCUG